AGGUUAUUUCUGUGACAUAUUUUCAUGGUGUGGGAAUAAGACUUGGUGGUCUUAUACAGCUAACAUGUAGGUUAGCAUCACAGCUUGUCCGUAAGGAUUGAGGCUGAGAAUGGCCAUUGGAGCUGACUUUUAUGGGGACUUUUUUCUGUGGCUGCAUAAAAUGUUUGUGUGGUAUAACUGCAGAGAAUG